CGAUCUGGCUCAGGAUGAACGCUAGCGACAGGCUUAACACAUGCAAGUCGAGGGGCAGCAUAAAAGUAGCAAUACUUGGUGGCGACCGGCGCACGGGUGAGUAACGCGUAUGCAACCUACCUAUCAGAGGGGAAUAACCCGGCGAAAGUCGGACUAAUACCGCAUAAAACAGGGGCACCGCAUGGUGAUAUUUGUUAAAGAAAUUCGCUGAUAGAUGGGCAUGCGUUCCAUUAGGUAGUUGGUGAGGUAACGGCUCACCAAGCCGACGAUGGAUAGGGAACUGAGAGGUUGGUCCCCCACACUGGUACUGAGACACGGACCAGACUCCUACGGGAGGCAGCAGUGAGGAAUAUUGGUCAAUGGGCGAGAGCCUGAACCAGCCAAGUCGCGUGAAGGAAGAAGGAUCUAUGGUUACGUAAACUUCUUUGCGAGGGGAAUAAAGUGCAGGACGUGUCCUGUUUUGUAUGUACCCUGAGAAUAAGGAUCGGCUAACUCCGUGCCAGCCGCGGC
rnacentral:rRNA from 1 species